rnacentral:rRNA from 1 species
ACUCCUACGGGAGGCAGCAGUGAGGAAUAUUGGACAAUGGGCGGGAGCCUGAUCCAGCCAUGCCGCGUGCAGGAAGACGGCCCUAUGGGUUGUAAACUGCUUUUAUACGGGAAGAAACACUCCCUCGUGAGGGAGCUUGACGGUACCGUAAGAAUAAGGAUCGGCUAACUCCGUGCCAGCAGCCGCGGUAAUACGGAGGAUCCAAGCGUUAUCCGGAAUCAUUGGGUUUAAAGGGUCCGUAGGCGGGACAAUAAGUCAGCGGUGAAAGUCUGUGGCUCAACCAUAGAAUUGCCAUUGAUACUGUUGUUCUUGAGUGUUUAUGAAGUGGUUGGAAUAUGUAGUGUAGCGGUGAAAUGCAUAGAUAUUACAUAGAACACCGAUUGCGAAGGCAGAUCACUAAUAAAAUACUGACGCUGAUGGACGAAAGCGUAGGUAGCGAACAGGAUUAGAUACCCUGGUAGUCUACGCCGUAAACGAUGGUUACUAGCUGUUCGGUCGUAAGACUGAGUGGCUAAGCGAAAGUGAUAAGUAACCCACCUGGGGAGUACGUUCGCAAGAAUGAAACUCAAAGGAAUUGACGGGGGCCCGCACAAGCGGUGGAGCAUGUGGUUUAAUUCGAUGAUACGCGAGGAACCUUACCAGGGCUUAAGUGUAGUUUGACCGAUUUGGAAACAGAUCUUUCGCAAGACAAAUUACAA